rnacentral:rRNA from 1 species
UUUUGUAUAAUGGGUCAGCGACUUAUAUUCUGUAGCAAGGUUAACCGAAUAGGGGAGCCGAAGGGAAACCGAGUCUUAACUGGGCGUUAAGUUGCAGGGUAUAGACCCGAAACCCGGUGAUCUAGCCAUGGGCAGGUUGAAGGUUGGGUAACACUAACUGGAGGACCGAACCGACUAAUGUUGAAAAAUUAGCGGAUGACUUGUGGCUGGGGGUGAAAGGCCAAUCAAACCGGGAGAUAGCUGGUUCUCCCCGAAAGCUAUUUAGGUAGCGCCUCGUGAAUUCAUCUCCGGGGGUAGAGCACUGUUUCGGCAAGGGGGUCAUCCCGACUUACCAACCCGAUGCAAACUGCGAAUACCGGAGAAUGUUAUCACGGGAGACACACGGCGGGUGCUAACGUCCGUCGUGAAGAGGGAAACAACCCAGACCGCCAGCUAAGGUCCCAAAGUCAUGGUUAAGUGGGAAACGAUGUGGGAAGGCCCAGACAGCCAGGAUGUUGGCUUAGAAGCAGCCAUCAUUUAAAGAAAGCGUAAUAGCUCACUGGUCGAGUCGGCCUGCGCGGAAGAUGUAACGGGGCUAAACCAUGCACCGAAGCUGCGGCAGCGACGCUUAUGCGUUGUUGGGUAGGGGAGCGUUCUGUAAGCCUGUGAAGGUGUACUGUGAGGUAUGCUGGAGGUAUCAGAAGUGCGAAUGCUGACAUAAGUAACGAUAAAGCGGGUGAAAAGCCCGCUCGCCGGAAGACCAAGGGUUCCUGUCCAACGUUAAUCGGGGCAGGGUGAGUCGACCCCUAAGGCGAGGCCGAAAGGCGUAGUCGAUGGGAAACAGGUUAAUAUUCCUGUACUUGGUGUUACUGCGAAGGGGGGACGGAGAAGGCUAUGUUGGCCGGGCGACGGUUGUCCCGGUUUAAGCGUGUAGGCUGGUUUUCCAG